GAUGAACGCUAGCGAUAGGCCUAACACAUGCAAGUUGAGGGGCAGCAUAGAGUAGCAAUACUUUGAUGGCGACCGGCGCACGGGUGAGUAACACGUAUGCAACCUACCUACAUCAGGGGAAUAACCCGGAGAAAUUCGGACUAAUACCGCAUAAUACAGGGAUGCCGCAUGGCAAUAUUUGUUAAAGAUUUAUCGGAAGUAGAUGGGCAUGCGUUCCAUUAGCUAGUUGGUAAGGUAACGGCUUACCAAGGCAACGAUGGAUAGGGGAACUGAGAGGUUUGUCCCCCACACUGGAACUGAGACACGGACCAGACUCCUACGGGAGGCAGCAGUGAGGAAUAUUGGUCAAUGGACGAGAGUCUGAACCAGCCAAAUCGCGUGAAGGAAGACUGCCCUACGGGUUGUAAACUUCUUUUGUACAGGAAUAAAAGACAUUACGUGUAAUGUAUUGCAUGUACUGUACGAAUAAGCAUCGGCUAACUCCGUGCCAGCAGCCGCCGCCG
rnacentral:rRNA from 1 species